CUGGAUUGUAACACAAAUAAUAAGGAUACUUGGUUUUCCCAUCUAUAAUUUAUUAAGAGAAUAAAGUUUGUGUGACUUUUCGACAUGUUUGAAAGUCUAGUAGAGAAAUCUUCUCAGAACCAAGAUAAGUACGAGCAUAAAAGUUAAAUUAAAAAAAAUUUAAAAAAUAUGUCAUGGUAAUCAACAUGUACAUAUGUACAAAUUAACUUAAUGUCGUAUUUGGUCCGAGCUGCGGUAUGCGUUGCGUUGGCUCCGGCGGCAGCGAUCGGGUUCCCGUGGCCCGCUCUUGUAGCGGGGGACGGUGGUUGCGGUUGGCAACUGAGUCUUCUACCGAAGAUUAUGUUGAGAGGGUAAUUGCCCUCUAUUUCGUUGGCCCUUAAGGCUCAACAAUAUGAUUAUAUCAAUACACGUUUUACGACUCGUGUCGGAGUUGAUAUGAACGCUCCGUUCAUUUAUUCGUCCAAUUCUAAACUAAAGCUUACUUCUAAACCUACACCGAAACCUAGCCGGCGAGCCGUCCGCGCUCACAAGAGAUAAGAGCC
rnacentral:lncRNA from 1 species